GGGAUAGCUCAGCAGUUAAGAGCACUGGCUACCCACUCAGAGGAUCUGGGUUCAAUUCCCAGCACCCA
rnacentral:tRNA from 1 species